GUAGGGAAUAUUGGGCAAUGGAGGCAACUCUGACCCAGCCAUGCCGCGUGCAGGAUGACGGCCCUCUGGGUUGUAAACUGCUUUUAUACGGGAAGAAAAAAUACUACGUGUAGUAUACUGACGGUACCGUAAGAAUAAGGAUCGGCUAACUCCGUGCCAGCAGCCGCGGUAAUACGGAGGAUCCAAGCGUUGUCCGGAUUUAUUGGGUUUAAAGGGUGCGUAGGCGGAUCUUUAAGUCAGUGGUGAAAGCCUGCAGCUUAACUGUAGAAUUGCCAUUGAAACUGAAGAUUAUGAAUGUGGUUAAAGUAGGCAGAAUGUCUCAUGUAGCGGUGAAAAGCAUAGAUAUGAUACAGAACACCGAUAGCGAAGGCAGCUUGCUGAACCAUUAUUGACGCUGAGGCACGAAAGCGUGGGGAGCAAACAGGAUUAGAUACCCGGGUAGUCC
rnacentral:rRNA from 1 species